GAUGAACGCUGGCGGCGUGCCUAAUACAUGCAAGUCGAGCGAACAGACGCGGCUCUUGCUCCUCUGACGUUAGCCGCGGACGUGUGAGUAACACGUGUAUCCCCUCCCUAUCAGACUGGGAUCACUUCGGGAAACCGGCGCUAAUCCCGGAUAAUAUCUUGAACCGCAUGGUUCAAUAGUGGAAGACGGUUUUGCUGUCACUUCUCGAUGGAUCCGCGCUGCAUUAGCUAGUUGGGAAGGUAACGGCUUACCAAGGCAACGAUGCGUAGCCGACCUGAGAGGGUGAUCGGCCACACGGGAACGGAGACACGGUCCAGAGGACUACGGGAGGCAGCAGUAGGGAAUGGUCCGCAAUGGGCGAAAGCCUGACGGAGCAACGCCGCGUGAGUGAUGAAGGUCUUCGGAUCGGAAAACUCUGUUAUUAGGGAAGAACAAAUGUGUAAGGAAAUAUGCACGUCGUGACGGUACCUAAUCAGAAAGCCACGGCUAACUACGUG
rnacentral:rRNA from 1 species